rnacentral:rRNA from 1 species
CGACCGGCGCACGGGUGAGUAUCGCGUUUGUAACCUACCCUUAACUGGGGGAUAGCCCGGAGAAAUCCGGAUUAAUACCCCAUAAUAUUUAAGCACGGCAUCGUGCUUUCAUUAAAGCUCCGGCGGUUAUGGAUGGGCAUACGUGACAUUAGUUUGUUGGUAAGGUAACGGCUUACCAAGACUACGAUGUCUAUGGGGUCUGAGAGGAUGAUCCCACACACUGGUACUGAGACACGGACCAG